CUGCUACCUGAUUGUGCACUUCCUGUUUCAAAUGAGGUGUGUGGCUGAAUGGUCAGUUUGUAACUGUGGUGUUGAUAACUCUGAGGUCCUACUGUAUUCACUCCACCCAUUC